rnacentral:rRNA from 1 species
GAGUUUGAUCUUGGCUCAGGAUGAACGCUGGCGGCGUGCUUAACACAUGCAAGUCGAACGAAGCACUACCGACGGAACUUUUCGGAGGGAAGAUGGUAAUGACUGAGUGGCGGACGGGUGAGUAACGCGUGGCAACCUGCCCCAUAGAGGGGGACGAACAGCUGGAAACGGCUGCUAAUACCGCAUAACAAGGAGAGAGCGCAUGUUCUUUUCUUCAAAGAUUUAUCGCUAUGGGAUGGACCCGCGUCUGAUUAGCUGGUUGGUGAGGUAACGGCUCACCAAGGCGACGAUCAGUAGCCGGCUUGAGAGAGUGGACGGCCACAUUGGGACUGAGACACGGCCCAGACUCCUACGGGAGGCAGCAGUGGGGAAUAUUGCACAAUGGGGGAAACCCUGAUGCAGCGACGCCGCGUGAGUGAAGAAGUAUUUCGGUAUGUAAAGCUCUAUCAGCAGGGAAGAUAAUGACGGUACCUGAAUAAGAAGCCCCGGCUAACUACGUGCCAGCCGCCG